rnacentral:tRNA from 1 species
UAGAAAAUAAUAUAAAGGAAGUAUGGAGGAUUUUGAUUCCUUCAGUGUAGGUUCAAUUCCUGCUUUUCUAA